rfam:Pan troglodytes isolate Yerkes chimp pedigree #C0471 (Clint) chromosome 17, whole genome shotgun sequence.
GCUGGGUGUGGUAGUGCACACCUGUAGUCCCAGCUACUCAGGAGGCUGAGGCAGGAGAAUCGCUUGAAUCUGGGAGGCAGAGGUUGUAGUGAGCCAAGAUUGUGCCACUGUAUUUCUGCCUGGGUGACAGAAUGAGACCCUGUCUCAA